rnacentral:ncRNA from 1 species
AGGAGCUGUAUGAGGUGAAAAUUUCAUGUGCGGUUCUGUAGAGUAGCAAUAAAGGUGACUUAUCUGUCAACUUUUUGGAAAGAAUUGGGCCAAAUUUUCCCAACCAACCAACCACUAUCUGCCUUUAU